rnacentral:rRNA from 1 species
UGAUCCCCUGGCUCAGAACGAACGCUGGCGGCAGGCUUAACACAUGCAAGUCGAGCGCCCCGCAAGGGGAGCGGCAGACGGGUGAGUAACGCGUGGGAACGUACCUUUUGCUACGGAAUAACUCAGGGAAACUUGUGCUAAUACCGUAUGUGCCCUUCGGGGGAAAGAUUUAUCGGCAAAGGAUCGGCCCGCGUUGGAUUAGCUAGUUGGUGAGGUAAAGGCUCACCAAGGCGACGAUCCAUAGCUGGUCUGAGAGGAUGAUCAGCCACA